GACGAACGCUGGCGGCGUGCUUAACACAUGCAAGUCGAACGGAAAGGCCCUGCUUUUGUGGGGUGCUCGAGUGGCGAACGGGUGAGUAACACGUGAGUAACCUGCCCUUGACUUUGGGAUAACUUCAGGAAACUGGGGCUAAUACCGGAUAGGAGCUCCUGCUGCAUGGUGGGGGUUGGAAAGUUUCGGCGGUUGGGUAUGGACUCGCGGCUUAUCAGCUUGUUGGUGGGGUAGUGGCUUACCAAGGCUUUGACGGGUAGCCGGCCUGAGAGGGUGACCGGCGACAUUGGGACUGAGAUACGGCCCAGACUGCUACGGGAGGGAGCAGUGGGGAAGAUUGCACAAUGGGUGGAAGCCUGAUGCAGCAACGCCGUGUGCGGGAUGACGGCCUUCGGGUUGUAAACCGCUUUCGCUCAUGACGAAGCUUUGUGUGACGGUAGUGGGUAAAGAAGCACCGGCUAACUACGUG
rnacentral:rRNA from 1 species